CAGCAGCCGCGGUAAUACGGAGGGUGCAAGCGUUAAUCGGAAUUACUGGGCGUAAAGCGUGCGUAGGCGGUUCGUUAAGUUUGUUGUGAAAGCCCCGGGCUCAACCUGGGAAUGGCAAUGGAUACUGGCGAGCUAGAGUGUGUCAGAGGAUGGUGGAAUUCCCGGUGUAGCGGUGAAAUGCGUAGAGAUCGGGAGGAACAUCAGUGGCGAAGGCGGCCAUCUGGGACAACACUGACGCUGAGGCACGAAAGCGUGGGGAGCAAACAGGAUUAGAUACCCCUGUAGUCCCUGUCUCUUAUAC
rnacentral:rRNA from 1 species